rnacentral:rRNA from 1 species
GUGUGGAAAUAAUUGCACACAAUUGGGCGCAAGCUGAUGCAGGCAUGCCGGGUGGUUGGAAAGAAUGGGCUUCGGGUUUGUAAAAGGCACUUUUCAGUCGUGGAGGAAGGUUUUUGCAGUUAAUAGCGUCCAUGAUUGACGUUAGCGACAGAAGAAGCACUGGCUAACUUCCGUGCCAGCAGCCGCGGUAAUACGGAGGGUGCGAGCGUUAAUCGGAAUUACUGGGCGUAAAGCGCAUGCAGGUUGGUUUGUUAAGUCAGAUGUGAAAGCCCGGGGCUCAACCUCGGAAUAGCAUUUGAAACUGGCAGACUAGAGUACUGUAGAGGGGGGUAGAAUUUCAGGUGUAGCGGUGAAAUGCGUAGAGAUCUGAAGGAAUACCGGUGGCGAAGGCGGCCCCCCUGGACAGAUACUGACACUCAGAUGCGAAAGCGUGGGGAGCAAACAGGAUUAGAUACCCUGGUAGUCCACGCCGUAAACGAUGUCUACUUGGAGGUUGUGGCCUUGAGCCGUGGCUUUCGGAGCUAACGCGUUAAGUAGACCGCCUGGGGAGUACGGUCGCAAGAUUAAAACUCAAAUGAAUUGACGGGGGCCCGCACAAGCGGUGGAGCAUGUGGUUUAAUUCGAUGCAACGCGAAGAACCUUACCUACUCUUGACAUCCAGAGAACUUUCCAGAGAUGGAUUGGUGCCUUCGGGAACUCUGAGACAGGUGCUGCAUGGCUGUCGUCAGCUCGUGUUGUGAAAUGUUGGGUUAAGUCCCGCAACGAGCGCAACCCUUAUCCUUGUUUGCCAGCGAGUAAUGUCGGGAACUCCAGGGAGACUGCCGGUGAUAAACCGGAGGAAGGUGGGGACGACGUCAAGUCAUCAUGGCCCUUACGAGUAGGGCUACACACGUGCUACAACCCCGCAUACAGAGGGCGGCCAACUUGCGAAAGUGAGCGAAUCCCAAAAAGUGCGUCGUAGUCCGGAUUGGAGUCUGCAACUCGACUCCAUGAAGUCGGAAUCGCUAGUAAUCGUGGAUCAGAAUGCCACGGUGAAUACGUUCCCGGGCCUUGUACACACCGCCCGUCACACCAUGGGAGUGGGGUGCAAUAAGAGAGUACGGUAGUAUAUCGUAACAAGGUAACCAUGCUAGAGUUGUUGC